ACGCGCUGCUUGAUGAACCAUUUACGGAUGUUAACAAACAAUUACUUGUCCGACGAGCGCAUAACCCCGUGUGGAUAUCUCCGUUGCCUUCCUUCUGACUCCCGCG
rnacentral:snoRNA from 1 species